rnacentral:tRNA from 1 species
GACACUAUAGUUAAAAAUUAACAUUAAAUUGCAAAUUUAAAAAUCAUCAAAUAAUAAUUUGUAGUGUUU